rnacentral:rRNA from 1 species
UACGUAGGUGGCAAGCGUUGUCCGGAUUUACUGGGCGUAAAGAGCGCGCAGGCGGUUGGAUAAGUCGAAUGUGAAAGCCCCCGGCUUAACUGGGGAGGGUCAUUCGAUACUGUUCAACUUGAAGGCAGGAGAGGGCAGCAGAAUUCCCGGUGUAGUGGUGAAAUGCGUAGAUAUCGAGAGGAACACCUGCGGCGAAGGCGGGUUGCUGGGCUGACACUGACGUGGAGGCGCGAAAGCCAGGGGAGCGAACGG